UACAGAGGGGGCGAGCGUUGUUCGGAAUUACUGGGCGUAAAGGGCGCGUAGGCGGCCUUCUAAGUCGAACGUGAAAUCCCCGGGCUCAACCCGGGAACUGCGUCCGAUACUGGGAGGCUUGAAUUCGGGAGAGGGAUGCAGAAUUCCAGGUGUAGCGGUGAAAUGCGUAGAUAUCUGGAGGAAUACCGGUGGCGAAGGCGGCAUCCUGGACCGAGAUUGACGCUGAUGAGCGAAAGCUAGGGGAGCAAACGGG
rnacentral:rRNA from 1 species